GCCCUCGUAGCUCAAAGGAUAGAGUAUUGGUCUUCGGAACCAAGGAUAGAGGUCCGAUUCCUCUCGAGGGCACCA
rnacentral:tRNA from 1 species